rnacentral:rRNA from 1 species
CCUGGCUCAGGAUGAACGCUAGCUACAGGCUUAACACAUGCAAGUCGAGGGGCAGCAUGAACUUAGCUUGCUAAGUUUGAUGGCGACCGGCGCACGGGUGAGUAACACGUAUCCAACCUGCCGAUGACUCGGGGAUAGCCUUUCGAAAGAAAGAUUAAUACCCGAUGGCAUAGUUCUUCCGCAUGGUAGAACUAUUAAAGAAUUUCGGUCAUCGAUGGGGAUGCGUUCCAUUAGGUUGUUGGCGGGGUAACGGCCCACCAAGCCUUCGAUGGAUAGGGGUUCUGAGAGGAAGGUCCCCCACAUUGGAACUGAGACACGGUCCAAACUCCUACGGGAGGCAGCAGUGAGGAAUAUUGGUCAAUGGACGAGAGUCUGAACCAGCCAAGUAGCGUGAAGGAUGACUGCCCUAUGGGUUGUAAACUUCUUUUAUACGGGAAUAAAGUGAGGCACGUGUGCCUUUUUGUAUGUACCGUAUGAAUAAGGAUCGGCUAACUCCGUGCCAGCAGCCGCGGUAAUACGGAGGAUCCGAGCGUUAUCCGGAUUUAUUGGGUUUAAAGGGAGCGUAGGCGGACGCUUAAGUCAGUUGUGAAAGUUUGCGGCUCAACCGUAAAAUUGCAGUUGAUACUGGGUGUCUUGAGUACAGUAGAGGCAGGCGGAAUUCGUGGUGUAGCGGUGAAAUGCUUAGAUAUCACGAAGAACUCCGAUUGCGAAGGCAGCCUGCUGGACUGUAACUGACGCUGAUGCUCGAAAGUGUGGGUAUCAAACAGGAUUAGAUACCCUGGUAGUCCACACAGUAAACGAUGAAUACUCGCUGUUUGCGAUAUACAGUAAGCGGCCAAGCGAAAGCGUUAAGUAUUCCACCUGGGGAGUACGCCGGCAACGGUGAAACUCAAAGGAAUUGACGGGGGCCCGCACAAGCGGAGGAACAUGUGGUUUAAUUCGAUGAUACGCGAGGAACCUUACCCGGGCUUGAAUUGCAACUGAAUGAUGUGGAGACAUGUCAGCCGCAAGGCAGUUGUGAAGGUGCUGCAUGGUUGUCGUCAGCUCGUGCCGUGAGGUGUCGGCUUAAGUGCCAUAACGAGCGCAACCCUUAUCGAUAGUUACCAUCAGGUGAUGCUGGGGACUCUGUCGAGACUGCCGUCGUAAGAUGUGAGGAAGGUGGGGAUGACGUCAAAUCAGCACGGCCCUUACGUCCGGGGCUACACACGUGUUACAAUGGGGGGUACAGAAGGCAGCUAUACGGCGACGUGAUGCUAAUCCCGAAAGCCUCUCUCAGUUCGGAUUGGAGUCUGCAACUCGACUCCGUGAAGCUGGAUUCGCUAGUAAUCGCGCAUCAGCCAUGGCGCGGUGAAUACGUUCCCGGGCCUUGUACACACCGCCC